CCUACGGGAGGCAGCAGUGGGGAAUAUUGGACAAUGGGCGAAAGCCUGAUCCAGCAAUUCCGCGUGUGUGAAGAAGGCCUUCGGGUUGUAAAGCACUUUAGUGGGGAAGAAACAGCUUGGCCACACCAAGCCUUGACGGUACCCCAAGAAUAAGCACCGGCUAACUCUGUGCCAGCAGCCGCGGUAAUACAGAGGGUGCAAGCGUUAAUCGGAUUUACUGGGCGUAAAGGGUGCGUAGGUGGCUAUUUAAGUCGGAUGUGAAAGCCCGGGGCUCAACCUCGGAAUUGCAUUCGAUACUGAGUGGCUAGAGUUCGGUAGAGGGCGGCGGAAUUUCCGGUGUAGCGGUGAAAUGCGUAGAUAUCGGAAGGAACAUCAAUGGCGAAGGCAGCCGCCUGGGCCUGGACUGACACUGAGGCACGAAAGCGUGGGUAGCAAACAGGAUUAGAUACCCUGGUAGUCCACGACCGUAACGAUGAGACUAGUACGUUGUUCGUUUACGUAUACGUGUCGCNGCUACGCGAUAAGUUCUCCGCCGUCGGGAGGUACGGCCGGCGAGGUUAGAACGUAACGUAAAGUAAGUUAGUUAGGUCGUUGAGACGUUGCCGACGGCGACGACGAGGGAGGAGG
rnacentral:rRNA from 1 species